rnacentral:lncRNA from 1 species
CAAAACUUACAUGUGGGAAGGUACUUAAUUUAAACUGAAUUAUGGUUGGACCGUAUUCUGAUUGUUCCAAAUCCAGAAAUUGUUAUGCAUAUGCUAUAACUAUUUCUUCAAAUACAUUUGAUUUUGAAGAAAACAUAAAAGAAAACUGAAGUUGAACUCAGUGAACCUUCUAUAGCUCAUCCGGGAAAGAGUUGCAGUGUUGUAAACUUAUCCCUUUUCAUAUAAUUGUUGCUUUUCUGUGCUCAAAAUUUUCUCUCUUCUUGUACUUUGAUUUUGCACACAUCCAUACGAUAGAGGUCAGUGUGAAUAUUAAAUUUUAGCGAUGCAUUUUCUAUAAAUUGUUCAUUGUUUUGAUGAGAGGUGUAGAGUGGAGUAUGUAGGCACAUCUGAAUUCAUGUUUUAUGGAUUGGAUAAUGUUGGCAGAUCUGAGUUCAUGUUUUGUAUAGAUGGAUCAUCCUCAAGAUUCUUUAAGAGUUAGAUGCUCUUUAUUUUAAAGAGCUAUCUCAUGAAAUUAGGUUUCGG